rnacentral:rRNA from 1 species
GAGUUUGAUCCUGGCUCAGGAUGAACGCUAGCUACAGGCUUAACACAUGCAAGUCGAGGGGUAGCAGGGUAGCAAUACCGCUGACGACCGGCGCACGGGUGAGUAACACGUAUCCAACCUUCCCAUAACUCAGGGAUAGCCUUUCGAAAGAAAGAUUAAUACCUGAUAGUACUUUUUCAAGGCAUCUUGAGAAGUUAAGAUUUAUUGGUUAUGGAUGGGGAUGCGUUCCAUUAGAUAGUUGGUGAGGUAACGGCUCACCAAGUCUUCGAUGGAUAGGGGUUCUGAGAGGAAGGUCCCCCACAUUGGUACUGAGACACGGACCAAACUCCUACGGGAGGCAGCAGUGAGGAAUAUUGGUCAAUGGGCGAGAGCCUGAACCAGCCAAGUAGCGUGAAGGAUGAAAGGUCCUAUGGAUUGUAAACUUCUUUUAUAGUAGAAUAAAGUGAUCCACGUGUGGAUUUUUGUAUGUAUACUAUGAAUAAGGAUCGGCUAACUCCGUGCCAGCAGCAGC